GUCGACCUCUGACUGUCUACAUCUGUGUUUGCAUAAUCCGCAUAUAACUCGAGUAUUGGUGAUUCAUUAGCUAUAUGCAUCUACAUCAUCACCUCCAUCCCCCUUGCACCUCUGAUAUCGAAAGCUUCAUAUUUGACGGGGUCGACCAAAGCAUAAAACCUAUAUUUCAGUGGCGAUACUCUCAUCUGGUUGGAUCUGACGAUUUUUAGCCUAAUUCUUCCACGCGACUCAGGCAAUUGUAUGUUCGAGUUGAAAGCCAACUAUGAUAUAUUCUCCAAUGAAAAAUGACCCUAAUUUCGGUGUCACAGACUUUACUGUCGUAAUAAAUAAUAGCAUUAAUUCAUCCACUCAUUUUCAACGAAAUAACAUAUUUCACAUGUUCGAAACAAAAAAACAUUAUGCAAAAAAAUAGUGUUGUAAUUAAAUAUGAACAUCAAAAAUCGAUCCUUACUUGAUGCAAUUAUGUGGUUGCUCCAAAUUAUGCCUUAUGAAAUGCCCUGUGAACUUCCUCUUCUUCCGAUUCUUCUUGCAAUUUUGCUUGCUUGAAAUUGCCUUAUGACACUCAAUUUUGAAAGUCAUCCUUUUAUAGAGUCGCGGUGAGUGGCAAUUGAUUCAUAAAAUAUUCUCAGGUAAGUGAGAAGUUUGCAUGCGUUGAAUUUGGUAGAGGAAAAACACUCCACGAAGGGCUUGUUUUUAGUGACAUGUCAAAAAUAUCCACUGAAAAUAUGCCCAGAUGGACGCGUUUUCAGUGCACUGUCAGAAAAAUGCACUGAAAGCACGUCUAGUUGGACACGUUUUUAGCUGACAUGGCAUGAAAAUACGUCCAGCUGGACGGGCUUUUAGUUCAUUUUUUGACAGUGCAUUGAAAACGCAUCCUACGUUGAGCAUUUUCUCACUAUCACUUUCAACUCCUACAAUUUCCUGC
rnacentral:lncRNA from 1 species